rnacentral:rRNA from 1 species
CACGUAGGGCGCGAGCGUUGUCCGGAAUUAUUGGGCGUAAAGAGCUCGUAGGCGGCCUGUUGCGUCCGCUGUGAAAGCCCGGGGCUUAACCCCGGGUCUGCAGUGGAUACGGGCAGGCUAGAGGUAGGUAGGGGAGAAUGGAAUUCCCGGUGUAGCGGUGAAAUGCGCAGAUAUCGGGAGGAACACCGGUGGCGAAGGCGGUUCUCUGGGCCUUACCUGACGCUGAGGAGCGAAAGCGUGGGGAGCGAACCGG